AACGAACGCUGGCGGCAGGCUUAACACAUGCAAGUCGAACGGGCGUAGCAAUACGUCAGUGGCAGACGGGCGAGUAACACGUGGGAACCUUCCUCGUAGUACGGAACAACUCAGGGAAACUUGAGCUAAUACCGUAUACGUCCGAGAGGAGAAAGAUUUAUCGCCAUGAGACGGGCCCGCGUCCGAUUAGGUAGUUGGUGGGGUAACGGCCUACCAAGCCGACGAUCGGUAGCUGAUCUGAGAGGAUGAUCAGCCACACUGGGACUGAGACACGGCCCAGACUCCUACGGGAGGCAGCAGUGGGGAAUCUUGGACAAUGGGCGCAAGCCUGAUCCAGCCAUGCCGCGUGAGUGAAGAAGGCCUUAGGGUUGUAAAGCUCUUUUGCCAGGGACGAUAAUGACGGUACCUGGAGAAUAAGCCCCGGCAAACUUCGUGCCAGCAGCCGCGGUAACAC
rnacentral:rRNA from 1 species